UGCUCGAGCGCUCUGCGGUGGGAGAAGAGUUUGUGGCUGAGGCACUGCAGACAAAGCUUCCUGCUGACACCCUCACUGGCACGUGUGAUGACGAAAGCCUUGACUUCCUGCUUCACCCUGCAUUUCCUGUAACUGUGUCUGUCUGUUCCGGGUAGGAGGCACAAAAUAGAUCAAAAGUCAGAGUGCGCCGAACAUCCAGGUGAUGUAGGCCUGGGAAACCUGUCUGCUUUGUUUCUCCCUCAAACUGGGCAUUGCUUCUUUCUUUACCCUCUGGGUUCUGAUUGACAGUUCCCACAGCAGGUGUCUGAAGAGCGGGUGGGACGUCUGCAGGGCUGUGCCACGCAGGAGCUGCCCGGAAUCCAGGCCUGGAUCUCAUGGUGCAUCAUAUGCCUAUCAGUGCAGCCUGGCACAGGCGGAUGUCAUCGGCACAUCAAAUCUAUCUUCAAAGCUGACACUGCAAUUUUCUCUAAAAAACGAAAAGAAAACCUUGAACCUGGCUGGAUCACAUACCUAGAGGAGGAAGCUGAAGACCACAGCGGAGAAUGAUUUCCCUAAAGCACCAGAGCUGGAGCCAAGGCUGGAAGGGGAGCAGGGAGCGAAACAAGGAAGGGGAUGCUGAAGGGCGCUCUGAGUCCUUCCCUGCCCACUGCCCCUGCCCGUCCCCCAGCCCACGCAGGCUAGGCAGGGACACCCCUCGAAAACUGUGUUUUUGGUCCUGAAAUACAUUUUCAUUCUUUUCCCCUCUGUCUGGAAUAACUUUUCUCCCUCCAGUGGAAGCCAAGUUCUUCCUUACCCAGCAACCUUACCUGAAAUAUUACCUCUUAGCUCAGUCAGAGCAAAAAUGGCUUACGUCUCUGUUGCCAUGGCAUUUGGUAACAACCUUGGGAUUCUUACCAUAUGGUACUAGCUAUGGUGUGUCUGGUUCCCCCAUCUCAGACUGGGGGCUCCUAAAGGGCAUCACACACUUCACCUAGCCUUGUAUUCCCAUCACAGAGUAAGUGCCGGGUGACUGCUUGUUGAAUUAACCCAGAAGAGGGUAAGUUUCUGAAUAACACAGUAUUAAAAAUCAGAUCACAGACAAAAUAAUUUUGUGAGGACUGUCUUACUGAAUCCAUUCUUAUCAGAAGUCUUGUCCUUAAAUAUGCUCAAGGACUUACCAGGCAGAUUCAUCAGCUAACAGAUGUUAACUCAAGUGAAAUUUAGACAAAAAUGGAAAGCUUAAUGGUAUAAAUAUCAUGCAGGAAAUUCAGGAGCAGUACUUACAGCAGAAAAAGGUCCAUGUGGUGUAAAACGAUUACAUGAAGAAGGCAAGUGAAAAAUAUAGUUCCCAUUAUUUAUAAUGAAGUCUAAGAUUGUACAAGUAAACUGCAACAACUGUAUAAAACUUUUUUUUUUUUUGGUACCAGGAAUCGAACUCAGGACCUUGUGCUUGCCAGGCAGGUGCUUGUACCGUUGAGCUAUAUCCCUGCCCCAGCUGUAUAAAAUUGUCAUACUGCAUAAACUUAUAGAACUUUUUUUUCAAAAAUUAUGUUUUUCAUAUUAGGUACACUUUUUAAGAAAAAGAUUUAUAUAUUACAGUUGCAUCCUCAAAGUAUCCUUAAGUGCUUAUGUUAUGCCAAUACCUACGUGGAUACAUUAUAAACACUGAAAAAUGAUUUUAGAAUAGAAUAAUAACUAUAAAAGUUUACUGUUUCAUAAUGGGGUUACAAAGUAAUAAUCUAGAUUUCCACCGGCUUGAAAGUAUUGCCAGAAGCUAUCUUAUUAUCUUAUAGUCACAUCUUGUUUUUUCAUCAAAAUGGUCUUAUUCACAAAGUACCUUACAGGUAUUUAAACUAUUCUUGGCCUUUGUUCACCAAAUUUGGCUUCAAGCAACUUCAGGCUUGAACCUGAAUUCACUCAAAAGAAGAGAAUUUGCCAGCCUUAUAACUAUUCAACAAGCUGCCCGCUCCGGGCUUUGAAAGUAACUCUGCAAGAAUAUCAAAAAGACUUUGUGAAACUGCAGCACUGCUGGGAAAGUUCCUGGGUUCCUCUGGUGACUGCUUUAAACAGAGAAGAGUCCCAUGGUUUGUAAACAGUCAUACCACUUUAUGGAAACACGCUGUACCUGUGUAGAGUCCCACUAUGGUUUAUAGAAGUGGGAAUUUAUGAAUGAUUACUGUGCAAAUCAAAAUGUAAAGCUGCAAAUAAAAAAAAACUCACUUCUCUACCAUAAGGUUUGAGCACAAAUAAAUACACAAGUACCCAAAAAGGCAUAUGUAUUUGAAAAUACAGAGAACAAUACCAAUGUUCAAUUGACAGCUAAACUUGUCUUCUAUGGUAACAUUCAGAAUCUUUUUUUUUCCUGGAGAUAACGUUUUAAAAAUUUAUUAGUGUAUGUCUGCAGGACGUAAUGAUUAUUACAUUCAUUAUGGGAGCUGGUACAUGUAAUAACACAUCUUAAUUCUUUUUACAUCCCCUCCCCACCGCCAUCUCCCUCCACUUCCUCCGUCUUUUGACUUCUUGCCCAUUACCAAAAAGGAGCAUUAGAAAUCUCUCCCAUGCUGGAGUGACAGAACAGACAUGAGCCUUAGUUUUAUAGCCAAGAAAACAGAUCUGUAAAUAGUAAGAGAUCUGCUCAGGGAGGCACAGACAUUUAAUAGGAAGUACUUUGUCUUCUGCAUCCUUGCCUUUCCUCAACUAGUAAAUUUCUAUGGUUAAUGAUUUUAGGAGGCUGGUUCACACUGGACUGCCUACCUUUGAAUUUUGGCAUCAACACUGGUUUUUUUUUUUGGUACUGGGAAUUGAACUCAGGACCUUGCUCUGGCCAGGCAGGCACCUUACCACUGAGCUACAUCCCCAGCCCUGGCAUCAACACUUUAACCCCAGCCAAAUCACUGUGUCUCUGUUGUACAUAAAAUGGGAUGGAAACAGUAGCUACUUCAAUGUAUGUAUAUAUGUAAAACCAUGGGGCACAGUGUCUAAUGCAUAGCGGUAAUAUCAUCUCCCUUCAUUUAAGCUUUGAUAUAUUUUCUAAAGCUACCUAUAUCUUGUUUGAAAGAAGAUCAAAUUGCAGAAGAAAAUAUUCCUUUCUUCUACUCCCGCUUUCCUCACAGGCAAAAGCCAUUCUGUGAUCUCCAUAAUCUGCCUGGUUCCCAGUGCAUAAAACUUCUGAAUAAAUGUUGAAUAAAUAUAAGAUCAAACCUCUUUGGUCAUUACCUGCUGUCAAAUACAGCCUUUUGUUUACUUCACUUGCCAUUUAUUAUUCUCAUAUCUCAUAGACUGUGAUUAGCGGUCUGAUUGCGUGUGAUUUUAGAACUUGAGAAAAGGUGUGAUUUCUUUGUAUAUUUUUAGAAAAGAUUCCUAUGAGUGUGAGAAAUCUACCCACUUCAUCUUAAAACUAGUUCAACUUUAUACAGUAUGGAACUCUUAUUAAGCAGGAAGGGAGGGCAGGAGGAAAAACAACACAU